AACAUAAUAACUGCUACAUUCGGGCGGCCAAAGUUAAGCUGUAAACAUUGAUUUGAAAUUCAGGAAGUUGUGUUGUGGAGUUGUUUUUUGGAGGGAUCCAGAAACGAGCCUCCACUGGCCAGCGGAAAUUUCUCACUGCGAUCAGUGGAAUUUUUGUCGGGAAAUUUUGGGAUCAAUAUUUUCCAGUCCUGGGAAAGGUUGCGCGCGGUUGUUUCUUCCUCCAAUCAUACAUUAGCGUGCAAAAUAUUGAGCUGCCCGGUCGUGCCGCACACAGAUACAUUUAGCCAGUCGCAGUUGGGGCGCAGUUUGACAAGGUUGUAUGCGGCAUUCUCAAACCCUCUGCCACUUUGGAUACUGAGAGCUGCACACAUAAGCCACCUAGUGGUUUUCGGGCGCCUUUUUCGUGUAUGGUGUAAGAAACGGUUGCCUCGGAUGAUUUUGAACGCGCCUUUAGCCGUGGUGGUGUUAAUGUGGGGGUGAAGGCAAACAUGAUAGGGCGGGGGCAGAGCUCGCCCAUGGAGCUCGGUUAGCGUGGCGUGCCCCUGCCCGGCCGCCCGGCACCCCCUCCGAACAGAGCCCUCAGGCUCGCAGAUGGAGCUGGACCAACGAGACUGCUUUCAUCGGCCUAAGGCCUUUGACAAGAUGGAAGAACUAUUGCAUGCAAUUGAGGCAUCAGGGGGUGUGCCAGUGGGGUGGCAAAAAUCGUUUUUGACCUCUGUACCGAAGUCGUUUGCUGGUUCCGAUUUGGUAGAGUGGUUGAUCGUACAUCUAGACACAGAUGAAAUGCCUGCGUUUUCCGAAUCCAUGCAUAUUGCGAAUCAAUUAUGUCAAUAUGGUUAUUUGUACCCAAUAAGUGACUCUAAAAACCUGCUCUUCAAAGAGGAAAACGCUAUCUAUAGAUUUCAGUCCCCUUCGUUCUGGCCAUGGAGUAGUAAAACACCAGAUAACAUAGAGUAUGCGAUUUAUCUCCUUAAACGAUCGCUUCGCAACAAACAAAAACACGGCCUAGAAGACUAUGAACUAGAAGCAAUGGCAAGUUUAAGGAGGAAUUUAAGCAAUAAAUGGGACUUAAUAACUAACCAGGCACAAGAGCAGGUAAAUCAGCUUCAGUAUAUGACAAAAAACGAUAAGUUGGUCAGCGACGCUGACGAAAAAGCUUUUUGGCGAAUAUACCGUCCUCCUCCCGGAUUCUUCACCGCUCUUGAACAAGUUCCAGUUCCUACCAGAUGUUGGAAUGGAAUGAGACCACGUAAGAAGACUAUAGACGACUAUAGAAGAGAGACUGAGCUUCUUAAAACCAGGCUUUCUAGGACCAGAGUGAAAGCAUCGCAGGCUCUUGAAAGCCUAAUCAACCAAAUUGACACAUACAGCGAAUACGACUGUCUUUUGAGUUCACCUCCGUCCGGAAAUCCCUGGGUAAAUGAUGAUAUUACGUACUGGACACUCAACGCUCCUUUAGUGGAAAUUCCAACUGAAAAGCGUGUAAGAAAAUGGGCUCUGUCUAUGGAGGAUCUUCUAUCAGAUCCUACAGGAGUUCAGGAAUUUACUCAGUACUUACGGAAAGAAAAGAGCGAAGAAAAUAUUCUGUUUUGUCUGGCAGUAAUUGAGCUGCGACGCUCUGCACAGUCACAAGUUUUGCCGAAAAUUAGAGACAUCUUUGAUAACUACUUAAAGCAUGGUUCGCCUUGCGAAGUAAACAUUGACUGUCAGACCAUGGAGCGAGUUCAGGAGGGAAUGAAACUAAAUAGUCGCUUCUGUUUCGAUGCCGCCCAAGAGCAUGUCUACAACCUUCUGCUCAAAAAAGAUUGCUACCCACGAUUCAUUCGCUCAGAAUACUAUAAGACCUUGUUGGCAAAUGGCGUUCAAACUUUACAGAAAAGAAGAUUUUUCGGAUUUGGACCAGCAAAAAAGAAAGCUUCCGUACCUGCACAAACCAACCCAGUUCAACCGUCACAAAUAACUGGGUGUGUUGGCGCACUAUCAAAGAGGCGCGGUAGCGACCGCAGCUUAACCGGUUCAGCGCAUGAAAUUUCUCAUUUUGGUGUUAGCAGCAGCACUCAAACCAGCGUUAUUAGGGAUACCAAAGUAUCCCAUUCCCACUCACAAACUAAUUUAAGUGAUAUUCCCUACAGGGGGGACCUAGACCUGAACAAAACCAGCCUCGCAGUCACUUCCAGCCCAAUAAAGAAAUCGAGUGCACUGCCAGGCGUGUCGACAGCCGCUGAAGAAGUUUGCCCAUGGGACACGCCUACUACUCCCCCCCGAACGCCCAUUAGUAACCGAAAGAAUUCUGCUACUCAUAUCGACUCAGAAAGUUCCUCAUCGGACGUUAGCGUGGGCGUGGCCGAAAUUGUUGAUAAGAUUCAAUGCAGCAGUUCACUCACACAGCAACACACUCUGGAUUGCGGCAAAAAAUUGCAUGUGGAUAGUUCAGAGGCGCCGCGACGAGCGUCAGUGUCGGUGCCUUUGACGCAUAGCACGUCGGGAAUGGAAGGCACUCGGCGGAAAGUGUCCUCUUUUGAAGACAAUUGUUCCUCGAUUUUUGUAAUUGCUAGUGAGAAAGACAAUAAGCCUAAAGACAAUAUCAGUAUUAGUAGCACCAAGGUAUUGCAGAAGAGUUACAGUGUAGCAAAAACUCCCUCAAUAUCUUGUGUCGCCCCAAUUAUCAGUGUGAGUUCCGUGAAAGACGAGAUGAUUAUUACUUCAUGUGAGCAACAGUCAUUGAAUGAACAAGUUACUGCAGGGCAGCAUCCAACCUCGUUAGAUAUAACUGUUUGCGAUUCGCCAAGUCAAAGCCAUUCCGAGCCAGUUUCGCCGCCGAUUAUUGACAAGCCAAAAGCGCCCUUAGCCGAACCAGACUGUGAGUCACCUGGAAGCGAAUUGCAGCCGUCGGAAGUAAUCGCUCACGCCGACUCAUCAUCAAGCGAAGUUCGAACUGGUAGCAAGCAUGAAGUAGAAGUGGAUGAAACAAAAAAUACAGACGUAUGUCCGUGGGAAGACGAGUAAGAUGGCCAUUUUUUUUGCUAGAAGUAGUGAUAGAAGUACAAAUAACGAAUCCAGCUAGAAGGUCAACAGCCGUCAAAUACAAUCUUGAAUAGCAAAGGAAAAUUGCAGACUUGAUAGUCCUUUUGUCAAGAAGUAUGCCACAUUAGGCUACCUCUAGCCAUAC
rnacentral:misc_RNA from 1 species